AGCUCCAAUAGCGUAUAUUAAAGUUGUUGCAGUUAAAAAGCUCGUAGUUGGACUUGUGAGUUGUUUGGGGGUCAAUUUGUACCAUCCGAAGGACUCAUUUUUGGAUGGAAGCUGCCGGGCAUUAGGUUGUUUGGUAGCGGACAUCCAUCUUUUACUGUGAGAAAAUUAGCGCGUUCAAAGCAAGCUUAUGCUGUUGAAUAUGUUAGCAUGGAAUAAUGAGAUAGGACCUCGGUACUAUUUUGUUGGUUUGUGCACUGAGGUAAUGGUUAAUAGGGAUUGUUGGGGGUAUUCGUAUUCCACUGUCAGAGGUGAAAUUCUUGGAUUUUUGGAAGACGAACUACUGCGAAAUCAUUUACCAAGGAUGUUUUCA
rnacentral:rRNA from 1 species